AUAUUGAAAUUACUCCAUCAGCUCUGCUCGCCCCCCAUCUCACCCCCCAAGCGGAGUCUGGUCUUGUCGGAUUGCCCAUGCACUUGUUGCAGAAACAGCCAAGGCCCUGGCUCUGGCGGUUGCUGAAGGAGGAAGACAUGGAAGCAGGACGACCCUGAACGAUUAAGCUUCUUAAUCCUGAAUCAGAACCAGGCCUCCUCUUCCCACCUGCCCAGCAGCAUGAGAGCAGCAUGACUGGCCGGCCGCAGGAGAAGCCCCUAGAGCCAGGCCCCCAACUCAACCAUCUGCUGCGGAGGUCAAGGUGUGAGCGGCGUCUCUGCACCCCGGUGGUGUUCGGUCCGUACCUCGGCCUGCGCGAGGAUGUAAAGCCCCCC
rnacentral:lncRNA from 1 species